GAUGAACGCUGGCGGCGUGCCUAAUACAUGCAAGUCGAGCGGACAGAUGAGGAGCUUGCUGCUCUGACGUUAGCGGCGGACGGGUGAGUAACACGUGGAUAACCUACCUAUAAGACUGGGAUCACUUCGGGAAACCGGAGCUAAUACCGGAUAAUAUAUUGAACCGCAUGGUUCAAUAGUGAAAGACGGUUUUGCUGUCACUUAUCGAUGGAUCUGCGCCGCAUUAGCUAGUUGGUAAGGUCACGGGUUACCACGGCAACUAUGCGUAGCCGACCGGAGGGGGUGGUCGGCCACCUUGGAGCGUGGCCACGGUCCAGGCGCCUACGAGAGGCAGCAGUAGGGAAUCUUCCGCAGUAGUGGAGAGCAUGACGGAGCAGCGGCGCGUGAGUGAUGAAGGUCUUCGGAGCGUAAUGCUCGGUUAUUAGGGAAGAACAAAUUUGUAAGUAACUAUGCACGUCGUGACGGUACCGGAUCAGAAAGCCACGGCUAACUACGUG
rnacentral:rRNA from 1 species